GAGAUUAGAAAUAAACCCUUGGCUCUUUGAUUUCUGAGUGACUCACACAGAAAACCUGACGUUUUGCCAUUGAUGUUUUUAGACGUUCUAUUGUGGCGGCUGGAAAUGAGAAAAACACACCAGACAGCAACACGGGCCACAAAAGGAGGGUAGAACCAAAAAUGCAUCUUUUCAGGAAGUGAUGGACAAACUCCAGAGGUUAAAUCAGGAGAUAAGCCGAGCUGUCUAACUAGGACGAUAACUCCGCAGCGCACGUCAUCUGAGGGAAGCAAUCAAAAGCCCUCCGGCUCAACUCGACGCCGCCGCCAUCCCUCGCUCACCUUCAGCUGCUGUUUUGUUCUUCAUUCAUGUCGGGCCUUCCUCCGCCGGCCCGUUUGACUGACAGGUUUCCGCUGCGGAUGAAUGUGAACAUCCAGGAGUAUUUGCGGACGGAUUUCUCCUGCAGCUCCGUCACACCGACAUCGAUAUAACGUCAGAAUGGUGCCUGCGAGGACUCGCUUCUCCCUUUCCAAUUAAGAGUCGGGGGCCAUUAUUUUGAACAGG
rnacentral:lncRNA from 1 species